CCUACGGGAGGCAGCAGUGGGGAAUAUUGCACAAUGGGGGGAACCCUGAUGCAGCGACGCCGCGUGAGUGAAGAAGUAUUUCGGUAUGUAAAGCUCUAUCAGCAGGGAAGAAAAUGACGGUACCUGACUAAGAAGCCCCGGCUAACUACGUGCCAGCAGCCGCGGUAAUACGUAGGGGGCAAGCGUUAUCCGGAUUUGCUGGGUGUAAAGGGAGCGUAGACGGCAGCACAAGUCUGGAGUGAAAUGCCGGGGCUUAACCCCGGAACUGCUUUGGAAACUGUGCAGCUAGAGUGCAGGAGAGGUAAGUGGAAUUCGUAGUGUAGCGGUGAAAUGCGUAGAUAUUAGGAGGAACCCCAGUGGCGAAGGCGGCUUACUGGACUGUAACUGACGUUGAGGCUCGAAAGCGUGGGGAGCAAACAGGAUUAGAUACCCGAGUAGUC
rnacentral:rRNA from 1 species